GGCGGCGCCCAGGCUGGGAUACGCAGUGAUCAGUCUUUAGAGACCCUGAAAUGAGAACCCAUAACAAAUAUUCAGCAAUCACCCCCCCAAGUGUAAUCGCCGUAGAAUAAAACGCAGUCUGGUUCUGCCCAGGUUGUCGGGAAUCCCCGAGGCGGGGCUGGGGGAAUGUGCUCCGCAAGCUGAGGCAGGGCUAACCCGGAACAAUAGCCGCAGGAAGGCCGCCUGCAGACGCCCUCCCGGGCCUCCCGCCCCGCCAGCCUCCGCCGCGUGCUCGCUGUCGGGGCGGCAGCUGCGGACCCGGCACAGGAUCCCUAGGGUCGGCGGCUGGAAACCAAAGGGCAGUGAUGGGUUCUGCUCGGACGACUUCGCUGGUAUCUGUUCUCACGACUGGCCAAGAAUCGGCCAAGGAUAUAAAACUGCCAGCAUCUGCUUUUAAUCCACCUUCUCCCCCUGAGCAUCCUAAAAAGCACAGGGACACAAGAACACCAAGAGCCUCCCAGGCGCAGCUGCACUGCUGGAAGCUGCAGAGUCUGCCCAAGAGCUACAGAAAACAUCCCCCAAAGCAUUAAAUAUGCAAGUGCGAAGAAGAGGUUAACAGGAGCUUUCGAUACAGGGAAAGUGCAGGGUGUGAUAUGAGUGUGCAAAACAUCAAGGUACUUCAUGUCUACGGAGGAAAUAAAGUAAAACCUGGACACAGAAUGGGAAGCCUACCAUAAGUAGGCAGGAGGAGA
rnacentral:lncRNA from 1 species